UACAGAGGUGCCAAGCGUUAGGCGGAAUCACUGGGCGUAAAGGGUGCGUAGGUGGCGGGGCAAGUUUGGUGUGAAAUCCCGGGGCUCAACCCUGGAACUGCACUGAAUACUGCUUUGCUAGAGUACUGGAGAGGGAACUGGAAUUUACGGUGUAGCAGUGAAAUGCGUAGAUAUCGUAAGGAAGACCAGUGGCGAAGGCGAGUUCCUGGACAGUUACUGACACUG
rnacentral:rRNA from 1 species